GAUGAACGCUGGCGGCGUGCUUAACACAUGCAAGUCGAACGAUGAAGCCCAGCUUGCUGGGUGGAUUAGUGGCGAACGGGUGAGUAACACGUGAGUAACCUGCCCUUAACUCUGGGAUAAGCCUGGGAAACUGGGUCUAAUACCGGAUAGGAGCGUCCACCGCAUGGUGGGUGUUGGAAAGAUUUAUCGGUUUUGGAUGGACUCGCGGCCUAUCAGCUUGUUGGUGAGGUAAUGGCUCACCAAGGCGACGACGGGUAGCCGGCCUGAGAGGGUGACCGGCCACACUGGGACUGAGACACGGCCCAGACUCCUACGGGAAGCAGCAGUGGGGAAUAUUGCACAAUGGGCGCAAGCCUGAUGCAGCGACGCCGCGUGAGGGAUGACGGCCUUCGGGUUGUAAACCUCUUUCAGUAGGGAAGAAGCGAAAGUGACGGUACCUGCUGAAGAAGCACCGGCUAACUACGUG
rnacentral:rRNA from 1 species